rnacentral:snoRNA from 1 species
AGAGGCCAAUGACGAUCAUGUCGCAAACAACGCAUUGCCUACAUUGUUUGACUGUAGCCAUGAUAGGAAUUUGUAGCAUUUCUGAGGCCUCU